rnacentral:sRNA from 1 species
AGCCUAAACCCUGCCUUUGGGCAGGGCAUGGCGUAAACCCUCAGAGAUACUGAACCCAUCGUUCAGCACUUCUCUGAGGUCAUAGCUGGAAACGGCUAUGGGCAGCCGUAAGGUUGCC